rnacentral:rRNA from 1 species
AGCAGCCGCGGUAAUUCCAGCUCCAAUAGCGUAUAUUAAAGUUGUUGCAGUUAAAAAGCUCGUAGUUGAAUUUCGGGAUCAAUAUAUCGGUCGUGCCAUUGGUACGUACUGGUAUCAUUGGUUUCUCCUUUCUGACGAACCAUGAUGUCAUUAAUUUGGUGUUAUGGGAAGUUAGGACUGUUACUUUGAAAAAAUUAGAGUGUUUAAAGCAGGCUUUAGCUUGAAUACAUUAGCAUGGAAUAAUGAAAUAGGACGUUCGAACCUAUUUUGUUGGUUUCUAGGAUCAACGCAAUGAUUAAUAGGGAUAGUUGGGGGCAUUAGUAUUCAAUUGUCAGAGGUGAAAUUCUUGGAUUUAUUGAAGACUAACUACUGCGAAAGCAUUUGCCAAGGAUGUUUUCAUUAAUCAAGAACGAAAGUUAGGGGAUCGAAGACGAUCAGANACCGUCGUAGUCUUAACCAUAAACUAUGCCGACUAGGGAUCGGAUGAUGUUAAUUUUUUAAUGACUCAUUCGGCGCC